UACGUAGGGGGCAAGCGUUGUCCGGAAUCAUUGGGCGUAAAGCGCGUGUAGGCGGUUACGUAAGUCUGCUGUGAAAGUCGGAGGCUCAACCUUCGAAAGCCGGUGGAUACUGCGUGACUAGAGUACGGAAGAGGAGAGUGGAAUUCCUGGUGUAGCGGUGAAAUGCGCAGAUAUCAGGAGGAACACCAACGGCGAAGGCAGCUCUCUGGGACGUUACUGACGCUGAGACGCGAAAGCGUGGGGAGCAUGCAGG
rnacentral:rRNA from 1 species